AUCCAGGUUAGGGUUUGUGCGAUGGCGCUUUGGCGCGAUCGAUGGCGCGCUGUGGUGCUGGUGAUGGCUGGAAUGCGCAUUCCUGAUUGCAUCGCGCUCGUCCUCUCGGAGCUCUCGGAUCGGAUUAUCUGGAUGUGAUGUCGAUUGCUAGUUGCAAUGGUGCGAGGCAAGAUGAGCAAACCUGGCAGCAAUGGUGGCAUCCACACCCAUGCAUGCCGAUAAUCCACUUUUCUCCUUGACGAUUUGCUACUUGAUCAAGGCUUUGGAAGCUAGCUAAGCUUUGGUUUCUUUCUCAGUGUACGCAAUGUGUAUUUGGACGAGCAUGGCAUUUAGCUACCUUGGAAGGAGUUUUGACAACGCCCUGAGAUUGCUAUCCGAGUCACUCUUGCUCUUAGCAUGACUCGCUGGAAGUUCCUGGCUCUCACUGUAAGUUUUCUCUUGAGUUUUCCAGGCUCUUUUUGUUUUUUAGUGCUAGUGGAGAUGCUGUACAUGCGCCAGCAGCUCAACGCCAUCUCCUGUGACAUUGUUCGCCAUUGCUUGUUUCUUUGGUGCAGAAUUUAUUGUCUCUCAAGGAAGGCUGAGAUGCUGAAGUAAAGAAGGCAUACCCGAGCAAAGGAGUCAUUCCAGCCCGACUUUGAUCCGCACAGUCGAAUGCCUUUGCUGUCGGAGAUGAUGGAAGAAGAAGAGCCCGAGAAGGCCGAGCUUGAGAACAAACUCGUGAAGACUAGGAAACCACAUCUACAUGAAUUGCAACACCAGCAUGCAUUGAGGAGAGAUGUGGCCUCAACACCAAAGCCAAGGAAGCUCGGAUAAACACCAAGUCUAACAGCGCUCAAGCCGGAUUGACAGAAAGCAGUGGAGCUGCCAGGAACGCCUCUCUCAGUCUUUCCCAGAACAGAUCAACCGAGCAGGCACUUGCCCAGCACCGCCAGCACCGCACCCCACCCAGCUGCCAGCCGCCAGCGCAGCACCGCAGCUCCAUGCCGCCCCCGGAUUAACAAGUCGAAUUAUAAGUUUAAUUAUAAGUCUAAUUGUAUUUGACUUAGCACAACUUCAAUUAUAACUCUCAUUUUGAGCC